rnacentral:rRNA from 1 species
CAACGCCGCGUGGAGGAUGAAAUCCCUUGGGAUGUAAACUCCUUUCGAUAGGGAAGAUAAUGACCGGUACCCUACUAGAAGAAGCCCGGCUAACUUCGUGC